UGCAUAUCCAAAAGCGGAGGAAAAGAAACCAACAGGGAUUGCCUUAGUAGCGGCGAGUGAAGCGGCAAAAGCUCAAAUUUGAAAUCUGGCGCCUUCGGUGUCCGAGUUGUAAUUUGAAGAUUGUAACCUUGGGGUUGGCUCUUGUCUAUGUUUCUUGGAACAGGACGUCACAGAGGGUGAGAAUCCCGUGCGAUGAGAUGCCCAAUUCUAUGUAAGGUGCUUUCGAAGAGUCGAGUUGUUUGGGAAUGCAGCUCUAAGUGGGUGGUAAAUUCCAUCUAAAGCUAAAUAUUGGCGAGAGACCGAUAGCGAACAAGUACAGUGAUGGAAAGAUGAAAAGAACUUUGAAAAGAGAGUGAAAAAGUACGUGAAAUUGUUGAAAGGGAAGGGUUUGAGAUCAGACUCGAUAUUUUGUGAGCCUUGCCUUCGUGGCGGGGUGACCCGCAGCUUAUCGGGCCAGCAUCGGUUUGGGCGGUAGGAUAAUGGCGUAGGAAUGUGACUUUACUUCGGUGAAGUGUUAUAGCCUGCGUUGAUGCUGCCUGCCUAGACCGAGGACUGCGAUUUUAUCAAGGAUGCUGGCAUAAUGAUCCCAAACCGCCCGUCUUGAACCACGGACCA
rnacentral:rRNA from 1 species